rnacentral:tRNA from 1 species
CGGGGUGUGGCGCAGUCUGGCUAGCGUGCUACCUUGGGGUGGUAGAGGUCGCCGGUUCAAGUCCGGUCACUCCGACCA